rnacentral:rRNA from 1 species
CCUACGGGAGGCUGCAGUGGGGGAUAUUGCACAAUGGGGGAAACCCUGAUGCAGCGACGCCGCGUGAGUGAAGAAGUAUUUCGGUAUGUAAAGCUCUAUCAGCAGGGAAGAAACUCACAGUACCUGGCCACCACGCCCCAGCUAACUACGUGCCAGCAGCCGCGGUACUACGUAGGGGGCAAGCGUUAUCCGGAUUUACUGGGUGUAAAGGGAGCGUAGACGGUGAUGUAAGUCUGGAGUGAAAGCCCGGGGCCCAACCCCGGGACUGAUUUGGAAACUGGGUAACUGGAGUACAGGAGGGGCAGGCGGAAGUCCUGAUGUAGCGGUGAAAUGCGUAGAUAUCAGGAGGAACACCGGCGGCGAAGGCGGCCUGCUGGACGACAACUGACGGUGAGGCGCGAAAGCGUGGGGAGCAAACAGGAUUAGAUACCCCUGUAGUC